rnacentral:rRNA from 1 species
GACGAACGCUGGCGGCGUGCUUAACACAUGCAAGUAGAACGGAGUGGCGAACGGGUGAGUAACACGUGGGUGCCCUGCCAUGUACUUCGGGAUAAGCCUGGGAAACUGGGUCUAAUACCGGAUAGUGUGGGAUGGGCCCGCGGCCUAUCAGCUUGGUGGUGGGGUACUGGCCUACCAAGGCGUCGCGGGCUAGCCGGCCUGAGAGGGUGGACGGCCACAUUGGGAAUGAGUCACGGCCCAGACUCAUACGGGAGGCAGCAGUUGGUAAUAUUGCACAAUGGGCGGAAGCCUGAUGCAGCGACGCAGCGUGGGGGAUGACGGCCUUCGGUUUGUAAACUCCUGUCACCAUCAACGCGGUAGAUGGAGAAGAAGCACCGGCUAACUACGUGCCAGGAGCCGGGGUAAUAC